rnacentral:lncRNA from 1 species
CCUCAGUUAGACCUAGUAGCUGUUAUCCUAGAAACAUACCAUUGCUUACAUAUGGACCCUUGUGGUCCCCUUCUGUGACCUUAUGGCUCCCGACCCACAGUUUGACACCACUGCUCUGCAGAGUCUGACCCAGAGCGAUGAGGGCUGGUGACGACCAUCCACUGGAGUACUCUCACAGGGUUUAUGUUCUGUGCUCCAGGGUGAACGGGGAAACAGAGGGGCUACAGGCACGCCAGGGAUCCCAGGAAAGGAUGGGCAGAGUGGGCAGCACGGGCAGCAAGGACCCCCUGGACCUCCAGGACCAAAGGGUCCGCUGGGAUACAGAGGAGAACCAGGGACUAAGGGGGAGAUGGGCGAGGAGGUAAGAGACUGGAUAGAUCUGGAUCCUAGUUAGAUGCAUAGAUCUGGAAGCAUAGAGCCC